GCCGGAGAUGACGACCUACGGGACGAUCCCCACCUCCACCGGCCCCUCCUCCUCCUCCUCCGCCACUCCCCUCGAUUACAUCUCCCGCGCCAAGGAGCGGGGCCGGUCCGCGCUCGCCAUGCGGCGGCCUUGGCGGCAGCUGGCUAACGUGCACGCCAUGGGCCUCCCGCCCAGCCUCGGCGAGGCCUACGUCCGGAUCCGCACCAACGCCGCCUACUUUGCCAUGAACUACGCCAUCAUCGUCUUGCUCGUCGUCUUCUGCAGUCUCCUCUGGCACCCCAUCUCCCUCAUCGUCUUUCUCGCCUGCCUCGCCGCCUGGCUCUUCCUCUACUUCCUCCGCGACGAGCCGCUCGUCUUCUUUGGCCGCACCAUUGGAGACCGGGUGGUCCUGAUCGUGCUCUCCGUGGUCACCCUGGUGCUGCUCCUGUUAACCAAGGUCACGUCCAACGUGCUCAUCUCCCUUCUAGUCGGCCUGCUGCUGGUGCUGAUUCAUGCCGUGCUGCGCAAGACCGAGGAUCUGGUGAUGGAAGAGGAGGCGGCCGGGCCUGGGAAGUGGUACGCGGCCGUCUCGUAGUAACACCGGACAGAACCAGUUUGGGCAUGG
rnacentral:lncRNA from 1 species